AUUGAACGCUGGCGGCAUGCCUUACACAUGCAAGUCGAACGGCAGCACGGGGCAACCUGGUGGCGAGUGGCGAACGGGUGAGUAAUGCAUCGGAACGUACCUUUCAGUGGGGGAUAACGUAGCGAAAGUUACGCUAAUACCGCAUAUUCUGUGAGCAGGAAAGCAGGGGAUCGCAAGACCUUGCGCUGAUUGAGCGGCCGAUGUCAGAUUAGCUAGUUGGUGAGGUAAAGGCUCACCAAGGCGACGAUCUGUAGCGGGUCUGAGAGGAUGAUCCGCCACACUGGAACGGAGACACGGUCCAGACUCCUACGGGAGGCAGCAGUGGGGAAUUUUGGACAAUGGGGGCAACCCUGAUCCAGCCAUGCCGCGUGAGUGAAGAAGGCCUUCGGGUUGUAAAGCUCUUUCGGCCGGGAAGAAAUCGUAUGGGUUAAUACCUGGUGCGGAUGACGGUACCGGCAUAAGAAGCACCGGCUAACCACGUGCCAGCCGCCACCGUAAGAC
rnacentral:rRNA from 1 species